AAGGGAGACCUAAUUCGGGUAUAAGACGAAAAAAGAGUAGUCGAAACCAAGAAUCAAUCCCAAAAGGUCGGAACGAGGUAUGUGGCUUUCAAACUAGGUUCUGGGUUCACACAAGACCUGAAUCAGGAACAAGGGCUAUUAGCUCAGGUGGUUAGAGCGCACCCCUGAUAAGGGUGAGGUCCCUGGUUCGAGUCCAGGAUGGCCCACCUGCACAGGUGGCAAAAACUAAGAAGCGAGGAAUCAGCACCUUAUCUUAUCUAUAUAUAAGAGAGAAUGCUGGCUCUGAGUAAAGAGUCCAGAGGAACCUUGAAAACUGCAUAGGGCUAGGUGAAAAAGCCAAAAAAGAAGACCGCAA
rnacentral:tRNA from 1 species